rnacentral:rRNA from 1 species
GAUGAACGCUGACAGAAUGCUUAACACAUGCAAGUCUUUGGCGAAGCUGUGCUUGCACAGCCUAGCCAAGGCGGACGGGUGAGUAACGCGUAAGGAACUUGCCCUGCAGUCAGGGAUAACAGACGGAAACGACUGAUAAGACCUGGUAAAGUCAGGCGGACUCAUGUCCAGCCUGAUGAAAAGAGAUGCUGCAGGAGAGCCUUGCGUCCUAUUAGCUUGUUGGUGGGGUAACGGCCCACCAAGGCGAUGAUAGGUAGCCGGCCUGAGAGGGUGGACGGCCACAAGGGGACUGAGAUACGGCCCUUACGCCUACGGGAGGCAGCAGUGGGGAAUAAUGGACAAUGGGGGCAACCCUGAUCCAGCAAUUCUGUGUGCACGAUGAAGGUUUUCGGAGUGUAAAGUGCUUUCAGCAGGGAAGAAAAAAAUGACGGUACCUGCAGAAGAAGCGACGGCUAAAUACGUG